GGCAUCCAAUUGAUCAACUACAAAUCAAGAAUCAUACUAGAAUACUAAGAUGUAAUUGAUGAUGAAAUCUUAUAGUCCCCAGCCUAGCCAAGAUGGAGAAUGACAUAUUGUCCGGCAACUAUGGGUCAGGCCCCCUUCAGUAGGAUCCAUCAAGGUCAUUGAAGGAAGAUUCUUACUGGAUCAAAUAACCUUAAAGAGACUGUGGAUAGAGAAACCAUCUAGAGAGAAAAACUUGUAGAGAUAGAAACUAGGUAG
rnacentral:lncRNA from 1 species